UACGUAGGCAGCAAGCGUUGUUCGGAAUUACUGGGCGUAAAGAGUGUGUAGGUGGUGUUCUAAGUCUGUCGUGAAAUCUCCCGGCUUAACUGGGAGGGUGCGGCGGAAACUGGAAUGCUCGAGUAUGGGAGAGGUAAGCGGAAUUCCUGGUGUAGCGGUGAAAUGCGUAGAUAUCAGGAGGAACACCGAUGGCGAAGGCAGGUCUCUGGGCAUUAACUGACGCUGAGGAGCGAAAGCAUGGGGAGCGAACAGG
rnacentral:rRNA from 1 species